rnacentral:rRNA from 1 species
UGCCAGCAGCCGCGGUAAUACGGAGGGGGUUAGCGUUAUUCGGAAUCACUGGGCUUAAAGAGUUCGUAGGCGGCUUGGUCAGUCAGAUGUGAAAUCCCACAGCCCAACUGUGGAACUGCGUUUGAUACUGCCAAGCUUGAGGGAGUUAGAGGAAAGCGGAACUGAUGGUGGAGCGGUGAAAUGCGUUGAUAUCAUCAGGAACACCGGUGGCGAAAGCGGCUUUCUGGAGCUCUUCUGACGCUGAGGAACGAAAGCUAGGGGAGCGAACGGGAUUAGAUA